UGAACAUGCGGAAGGAUCAUAU
rnacentral:rRNA from 1 species